ACAAAAGAUGUCUAAGAUAUAAAAUUGCCCACAACACAAACUUAUGCGCUGGACUAUGCCAUUUACGCUGGAUAAUGCUACUUAUUUCUAACACAAAAAGGAUUGAAGUCAGAACCAAUGCCGGAGAACGUGCAACAAAAGAUAGUUAUCUACGCAGACCUUCUAAUAAAAUAAAGACAAAAUUAAAACCUGCCGCUGUCGAAUAGAAACUAUCGGUCUGCUUAAUGAUUGAAGAUUUUUGAUGUGGUAACGCGGCUUUCCAUGGUUGGUGUGUGAGAACCUCUAUCUUUCCUUUUCAUUUGCGGCUACAAGACCUAUCACAUUAAUGUGCUGGACUGUGCCACUUAUGCUGGAUAAUGACACUUAUUCCCCGUCACAAAAAGAAUUGAAAUGAGAAACAAUGCAAGGCAAAGAAAAAGCUAAUCAUGAGCGGCAAAAAUGGCAUUCGCUCACACGGUGCGGUUCUUCCCUAAAAUUAUUAACGCAGACCUUCCAACAAAAGAAAAGCAGAAUCGCAAAUAACAGUUGUUGUCAAUUAGCUAGCGGAUAACGAAACCUCGAAAUCAGUCUGCUACCGUUUGGAGCACCGUCCCCAUUUCCAUAAUGGGGUGUUCGUAGACAUAUUUGUAAUGGUCGUUGGUAACUUUUCGUUGGUAUCGAAGUAUUCAACUAUAAAAACAUAUAGAAUCCGAAGCAAUGUCAAACAAGAGGGAACUAUCUAUUUUUACUUUAAUAUCUGUUUGCCAAAAUUCUUCUUUUCAGCGCUAAAAAGAAGCAAUUUUGCAACGUCGUCCGGCACUUUGAUUCGAAACUUCAGUCGGACAGCAACAACAUGAUAAGAGUCCCCCGUUCCUUGGCAAUCUAAUGUAGCACAUUUUUAUCCCAUUAUCUUCAAAUUAGACGUAGAUAUUUUGUCUUUUAGUUUUUUUCCCUGUUAGAACGAGGAUCAUUCUUCUAAUGAUGUUUUAAUUUUUUCAAUUUUUAAUUUACUUCUGCAAAGAUAAAAUAUCAAAUUAAUGUUUCGUAUAUAAGUCCAUUCUCUAAGCCUAUAAAUCUAAUAAGCGCAAAAGAAUGUUUUCUGUCCCUUAAAUGAUUAUAACUUUGCAACUUUUUUAUUUGAAACCGAUCUUAUAUACAAGCAAGGAUUUAGAGCGGACCGGUCCUGUUUUUACCAAGAAUUUUUGCAAACCUGAGCGGUUUUUAAACAUAUCGUUGAACGUUUAAGUAGGUCAAUACUGUCUGGCAAUAAUUGCA